GACGAACGCUGGCGGCGUGCUUAACACAUGCAAGUCGAACGGAAAGGCCCUGCUUUUGUGGGGUGCUCGAGUGGCGAACGGGUGAGUAACACGUGAGUAACCUGCCCUUGACUUUGGGAUAACUUCAGGAAACUGGGGCUAAUACCGGAUAGGAGCUCCUGCUGCAUGGUGGGGGUUGGAAAGUUUCGGCGGUUGGGGAUGGACUCGCGGCUUAUCAGCUUGUUGGUGGGGUAGUGGCUUACCAAGGCUUUGACGGGUAGCCGGCCUGAGAGGGUGACCGGCCACAUUGGGACUGAGAUACGGCCCAGACUCCUACGGGAGGCAGCAGUGGGGAAUAUUGCACAAUGGGCGGAAGCCUGAUGCAGCAGCGCCGCGUGCGGGAUGACGUCCUUCGGGUUGUGAACCGCUUUCGCCUGUGACGAAGCGUGAGUGACGGUAAUGGGUAAAGAAGCACCGGCUAACUACGUG
rnacentral:rRNA from 1 species